GGUUAAGCGACUAAGCGUACACGGUGGAUGCCCUGGCAGUCAGAGGCGAUGAAGGACGUGCUAAUCUGCGAAAAGCGUCGGUAAGGUGAUAUGAACCGUUAUAACCGGCGAUGUCCGAAUGGGGAAACCCAGUGCAAUUCGUUGCACUAUCGUUAACUGAAUACAUAGGUUAACGAGGCGAACCGGGGGAACUGAAACAUCUAAGUACCCCGAGGAAAAGAAAUCAACCGAGAUUCCCCCAGUAGCGGCGAGCGAACGGGGAGCAGCCCAGAGUCUGAAUCAGCUUGUGUGUUAGUGGAACGGUCUGGAAAGUCCGACGGUACAGGGUGAUAGUCCCGUACACCAAAAUGCACAGGCUGUGAACUCGAAGAGUAGGGCGGGACACGUGGUAUCCUGUCUGAAUAUGGGGGGACCAUCCUCCAAGGCUAAAUACUCCUGACUGACCGAUAGUGAACCAGUACCGUGAGGGAAAGGCGAAAAGAACCCCGGCGAGGGGAGUGAAAAAGAACCUGAAACCGUGUACGUACAAGCAGUGGGAGCACCUUCGGGUGUGACUGCGUACCUUUUGUAUAAUGGGUCAGCGACUUAUAUUCUGUAGCAAGGUUAACCGUAUAGGGGAGCCGCAGGGAAACCGAGUCUUAACUGGGCGUUAAGUUGCAGGGUAUAGACCCGAAACCCGGUGAUCUAGCCAUGGGCAGGUUGAAGGUUGGGUAACACUAACUGGAGGACCGAACCGACUAAUGUUGAAAAAUUAGCGGAUGACUUGUGGCUGGGGGUGAAAGGCCAAUCAAACCGGGAGAUAGCUGGUUCUCCCCGAAAGCUAUUUAGGUAGCGCCUCGUGAAUUCAUCUUCGGGGGUAGAGCACUGUUUCGGCUAGGGGGUCAUCCCGACUUACCAACCCGAUGCAAACUACGAAUACCGAAGAAUGUUAUCACGGGAGACACACGGCGGGUGCUAACGUCCGUCGUGAAGAGGGAAACAACCCAGACCGCCAGCUAAGGUCCCAAAGUCAUGGUUAAGUGGGAAACGAUGUGGGAAGGCACAGACAGCCAGGAUGUUGGCUUAGAAGCAGCCAUCAUUUAAAGAAAGCGUAAUAGCUCACUGGUCGAGUCGGCCUGCGCGGAAGAUGUAACGGGGCUAAACCAUGCACCGAAGCUGCGGCAGCGACACUAUGUGUUGUUGGGUAGGGGAGCGUUCUGUAAGCCUGCGAAGGUGUGCUGUGAGGCAUGCUGGAGGUAUCAGAAGUGCGAAUGCUGACAUAAGUAACGAUAAAGCGGGUGAAAAGCCCGCUCGCCGGAAGACCAAGGGUUCCUGUCCAACGUUAAUCGGGGCAGGGUGAGUCGACCCCUAAGGCGAGGCCGAAAGGCGUAGUCGAUGGGAAACAGGUUAAUAUUCCUGUACUUGGUGUUACUGCGAAGGGGGGACGGAGAAGGCUAUGUUAGCCGGGCGACGGUUGUCCCGGUUUAAGCAUGUAGGCUGGUUGUCCAGGCAAAUCCGGAUAAUCAAGGCUGAGGUGUGAUGACGAGGCACUACGGUGCUGAAGUAACAAAUGCCCUGCUUCCAGGAAAAGCCUCUAAGCAUCAGGUAACAUCAAAUCGUACCCCAAACCGACACAGGUGGUCAGGUAGAGAAUACCAAGGCGCUUGAGAGAACUCGGGUGAAGGAACUAGGCAAAAUGGUGCCGUAACUUCGGGAGAAGGCACGCUGGUGUGUAGGUGAAGCCCCUGCGGGUGGAGCUGAGACCAGUCGAAGAUACCAGCUGGCUGCAACUGUUUAUUAAAAACACAGCACUGUGCAAACACGAAAGUGGACGUAUACGGUGUGACGCCUGCCCGGUGCCGGAAGGUUAAUUGAUGGGGUUAUCCGUAAGGAGAAGCUCUUGAUCGAAGCCCCGGUAAACGGCGGCCGUAACUAUAACGGUCCUAAGGUAGCGAAAUUCCUUGUCGGGUAAGUUCCGACCUGCACGAAUGGCGUAAUGAUGGCCAGGCUGUCUCCACCCGAGACUCAGUGAAAUUGAACUCGCUGUGAAGAUGCAGUGUACCCGCGGCAAGACGGAAAGACCCCGUGAACCUUUACUAUAGCUUGACACUGAACAUUGAGCCUUGAUGUGUAGGAUAGGUGGGAGGCUUUGAAGCGUGGACGCCAGUCUGCGUGGAGCCAACCUUGAAAUACCACCCUUUAAUGUUUGAUGUUCUAACGUUGGCCCCUUACCGGGGUUGCGGACAGUGUCUGGUGGGUAGUUUGACUGGGGCGGUCUCCUCCCAAAGCGUAACGGAGGAGCACGAAGGUUAGCUAAUCCUGGUCGGACAUCAGGAGGUUAGUGCAAUGGCAUAAGCUAGCUUGACUGCGAGCGUGACGGCGCGAGCAGGUGCGAAAGCAGGUCAUAGUGAUCCGGUGGUUCUGAAUGGAAGGGCCAUCGCUCAACGGAUAAAAGGUACUCCGGGGAUAACAGGCUGAUACCGCCCAAGAGUUCAUAUCGACGGCGGUGUUUGGCACCUCGAUGUCGGCUCAUCACAUCCUGGGGCUGAAGUAGGUCCCAAGGGUAUGGCUGUUCGCCAUUUAAAGUGGUACGCGAGCUGGGUUUAGAACGUCGUGAGACAGUUCGGUCCCUAUCUGCCGUGGGCGCUGGAGAAUUGAGGGGGGCUGCUCCUAGUACGAGAGGACCGGAGUGGACGCAUCACUGGUGUUCGGGUUGUCAUGCCAAUGGCACUGCCCGGUAGCUAAAUGCGGAAGAGAUAAGUGCUGAAAGCAUCUAAGCACGAAACUUGCCCCGAGAUGAGUUCUCCCUGAGACUUUAAGUCUCCUGAAGGAACGUUGAAGACGACGACGUUGAUAGGCCGGGUGUGUAAGCGCAGCGAUGCGUUGAGCUAACCGGUACUAAUGAACCGUGAGGCUUAACCUU
rnacentral:rRNA from 1 species